UACGAACCGUGCGAACGUUGUUCGGAUUCACUGGGCUUAAAGGGCGCGUAGGCGGGCCAUCAAGUCAGGGGUGAAAUCUUUCGGCUCAACCGGAAAAGUGCCUUUGAUACUGGUGGUCUCGAGGGAGGUAGGGGCAUGCGGAACUUCCGGUGGAGCGGUGAAAUGCGUAGAUAUCGGAAGGAACGCCGGUGGCGAAAGCGGCGUGCUGGACCUCUUCUGACGCUGAGGCGCGAAAGCUAGGGGAGCAAACGGG
rnacentral:rRNA from 1 species